rnacentral:rRNA from 1 species
UGAACGCUGGCGGUAGGCCUACCACAUGCAAGUCGACCGGCAGCACAGUAAGAGCUUGCUCUUACGGGUGGCGAGUGGCGGACGGGUGAGGAAUACAUCGGAAUCUACUUUUUCGUGGGGGAUAACGUAGGGAAACUUACGCUAAUACCGCAUACGACCUACGGGUGAAAGCAGGGGAUCUUCGGACCUUGCGCGAUUGAAUGAGCCGAUGUCGGAUUAGCUAGUUGGCGGGGUAAAGGCCCACCAAGGCGACGAUCCGUAGCUGGUCUGAGAGGAUGAUCAGCCACACUGGAACUGAGACACGGUCCAGACUCCUACGGGAGGCAGCAGUGGGGAAUAUUGGACAAUGGGCGCAAGCCUGAUCCAGCCAUACCGCGUGGGUGAAGAAGGCCUUCGGGUUGUAAAGCCCUUUUGUUGGGAAAGAAAAGCAGCAGGUUAAUACCCCGCUGUUCUGACGGUACCCAAAGAAUAAGCACCGGCUAACUUCGUG